ensembl:lncRNA
CCAGGUGGAAAAUCCCGUGAUUCACGCAGCUGCUUUGACUAAAGCUUUAACAAAGACCUUCAAGCAUCUAUGUUGGUCAUGGUUCUUGGCUCUGCGAACACUUUCUCCCUUCAGAUGAGGGAGGGUUCAAUGGUCAAACCUGCGACUCCAGCAGAGUGUGAAGUGAACUGACACUAAACUGUUAUUAGGGUUUGAAUACUUUUUAAGGCCUGUCACCAUGAUGAAGAAGCAACGUUAGCCUUACUCCAUCAAGAAGAAUGGAUUGCUUAGCCCGCAGUUCUGGAAGGUCUAGAGCAUGGUACCGGUGAGGACCUUCUGACUUAUGACAUCAGAGAGACAGGGGCCUGCGGUGGAAGAGCUGCUUCCUUUGCUAGACAGAAGGUCAGAGAGAAAUGGGGAUCAAACAGUCCCUUCGGAAGGCACAUCCAUGGUGACCUCAGCACCCUACUUAGGUCUACCUAGGAAAGUUCCCAAUUACCCCAGGAUCACACUUCAUUUAUUUGAAACCCAUGUUCAGUCCUAUGACAAUUUUCUUCCAAGUGAAAAAGGUAUUUCUGAACAAUGAUUUGAAACAAUUUACCCACUGUUUACAUUCUCACUGCAUGCCUGGUCCAACUGUAUGAACUCCUGGUCUCAGCGUCAGCAACUCCACGAAGGCUUCAGAUGCUCACCUGAACUUCACAAUGAAUGGAAUGUUUGGUUUCCCACAGAUGUCAUGGAGUUCGGGGUGAUUCUGGUUAGGUGAGUUUAUGAGGGUGGAUCCUUCCUAAGAGGAAUCAGUGCCUUUCUCAGAGGCAUGAAAGCCUGGCACCCAUCUCUGCUUUGUGGGGUUGCAAUAGAAGGUGUUCUGGGUCCACCUAGAAAAGAGCCCACUUCAGGGUCAGACCACCUGACCAUGUAGGUUCACAGAGGAAGUGGAAAGGGAACAUUGACUUCAUAUUUUUCUGUGAUCUAAUUAAUAUUUAUGUAGUUCUGUGCAUUUUGUUUUUAUUUUAAAAUUUACAGUUUAUAUAUUAGUAAACUUGGGCUAAGAUUUAUUAUUUAGGACAUGCAUUUACUUUUAUAUAAAAGAAUCCCAAAAUGGCAUCAAUUAAGUGAAGGGUUUAAAGCCCUCUAUCGUACAUCUAUCUCUGAGGCUGAAUUUUCACUAACUGCUUUUUGAGGGAAAAGCUAUCAAGAGUUGUUCUCCACCUACACAUGGCAGCUCCAGGCACUUUCACCAGGCCUCUGAGUUGCUGAAUAACAUUUCCUUACACAAAUUCCUAUCUGGAGCUCCACUUCAAUCUAUUUCAAUUUCUUAAGCAGCACAGGAACAAAUACCACAUUAACUUUAAAUAUCAAAAGCAUGCACUCAUGUUGACAAAAAAUAUUAAGAUCAAAUCAUAUAGCCUAAAUGCCUACUUUGUAUUUGGUUUAAGAAUUCGUUUACAUACUCUCUUAUUUCCUGGAGGCUUAAACGUUUACAUCAGAAAGUGUAUUGUAUGUUACACUUUAAAAUCAAGCUAUUAGAUUUUAAAAGUUCGCCAAACACUAACAGAAUGCUAAUGCUACCUUUAUAUGGCUCUGGGAAGGAAUGAAAAACCCUCAUAUGGAAAGCUCAUUUGAAUUCAAAUCCUCUUAUGCUUGAGGAGCCUAUGAAACAGGAAAACAAAUCUCCAGCACGUGAACCUGUAGGGGCGAGCCUCGCCCCACGUAGCAUCCACUUGCUCUCACAGGCUGCAUUGCAGAGCACAGCUGCAUCAGAGCUAUCAAUUUGCAGAGUUACGGACACGUCACCUACCCAAUCUCUCUUUACCAUUUUUUCAAGCAUAGAGUUGUGUUGGUUAUUAAAAGCAUUUCCUAGCCUAGACAAAGUCUGACUUUCUACUCGUCACAACUUCAAUCUCUAUUCCAAACACAUUUAAUCUACUUCCAACUGGCAAUCCCAUGGGGGAAAAUACAGUAUCAUUUCUCAGAGUAGUUCUGUAUGACUUUGAUAUGUAGGAUUAUUUGGGGUGGAGCAAACAUACCUUUACGUUCUUUUUUUUCAUCUGGAAAUGAGAAGAUUGGAAGAUUCCAAAAUAAAGACACGUUUUCGUUUUUCUUCUUUAAAAUUCAUUAAAACAGAAACUCAUAUGGAAUAGCAACCAAAUCAUUGGCUCAACAUGCUGAAAAAUAAGGCACACCUCUCCAUCAGAAGAAAGAGAUGGUUCGACAGGAGUCAAUAGUUUUGUAUGGGAAUGCUUAAGGAUUAUAAGAACGCACCGUGAAAAAUGCAUAACCCCAGCUGUAGUCUACAGUAAAUUGCUAAUGGAAAGCAAGACGUUCCAGCCUAGUGGAGACUACAGUCCCUUUAAAGGUUUGGAAAUGGAGUUUUAUAUCAGAGCUUUAACUCUUCAGAAAACUACCAAAAUAGUGGAGCUUGGGAGAAGCCUUGGGGACAAGCACUGUUCAUUGACACUGCUUGCCUGGAGGAGUAGGGGGAUUCGGUGAGGUGAAAUAAGUGACUUCAAAGACACAAAAAGGCAAUCCUGUGCUUUCGCACCUAUGACCCUGUCAUGGAGUGGCCUGGUUGUAUGGUUCUCACUACUGGAAACAGGAGGAGCAUAAGAACUAAGGGUGACCAGAAGAAUCCUGACCGCUAUUACCGUAUAAAAGAUGGCAAAAUUGGGCCUCCGAGAAAAGUGAUUGGUGGUAUAAUUGGGAUUUGAACUGAGGGACUCUGUUCUUUGUCUUGGAGAAAAUUUUGUUUGUCAUCACCUCUACGGUCUCAUUUUUUUUAAUUAUUAUGUAUUUAUAUAUAAAUAUGCUGUGGCUGUCUUCAGACACACCAGAAGAGGACAUCAGAUCCCAUUACAAAUGAUUGUGAGCCACUAUGUGGUUGAUGGAAAUUGAACAUAGGACCUGUGGAAGAGCAGUCAUUGCUUUUAACCACCGAGCCGUCUUUCCAGCCUCAUGGUCUUUCCAGCCUCAUUCUGGUUCUGUGGUAACGAGGGCAAUACAGUUGAUGCAUGUAAAUGUACGCUACAGUCAUGGCCAUUAUUGCAACAACUGUCUUACUAAGCAUCUGAAAAAAAAUUAGCUAAUAACCACUUCAGAUAGAAGCUGAGGAUCCUCUGGAAGCCUUGGGACCAGGUUCUAGAUCAAGGCUUUUACACAGGUUUAAUCACAGUUUCUGUCCUUGAUUCCUUUUGAUGAAAAAUGACUGUUGACAUUCCUUGGGGGUCUCAGUUACAGAUCGUAGUUUCUUGGUUUGUUCUCAUUUGUUUAGUUUUGUUUGCUUUUUUAAAAUACAACAUUGGACAUUUCAUAGAACGUUGGGGCUGCCAUUCUUCUUUGUAACAUGAGGCCAUGUGUGAUGGCUCAGUCCUGGGAUCUCCCUGUUACCCUCUGUAGGCUACCCUCAGAGACAUGUGCUAUCAGUAGGGAUCCUACCGCAGCCCUGUGGUGAACACUGUGAUGAUGCUCUUAACCAUCGUGGUACCUAUCUCCCAGGGACCAGUUCAGCUACUGGUAGCUUUUCUUGGGUCCUGGUGGUAGGUCCUUCCCAAGGCUGCUUCAACUGCCAUCCAGAGUCUCUGAGGAGAGGCUGCUGUGCUGGAACUUUUCAUGUCCCAAUCAAGCUCGUUCAGCAAAAAGCUACUCUCAAAUCAUUCCUUCUGAAGGUACAUUGUGUCCCCGUUUCUUCAGGAUCUGGCAGUAUGUUCCAACAUGUGGGUUUCGGGCCCUUAGCAAGUCAGAUUAUGCACAUGUGAAUCAUCAACCUGGCCAAUCCCUAACAUUGACAGUUGUGUGACAUCCGCAGUGUGCCAAGUCCUCUGCAGGUAUUAUCUCAUUUUCACCCUCACAAAAGUGCCAGGAGGUUUUGUUUGGUAAUCACCACACUCCACAGGUGAGGGAGAUUAGCCUGAGAGAGAUUAAGCAGAUUGCUCAAGAUAAUACAACCAGCAAAUAAAUAGGUCUUCAAAUCCAGGCUAACAAACUAUAUGUAUGUACACA